UACAGAGGCCUCGAGCGUUAGGCGGAAUCACUGGGCUUAAAGCGUGUGUAGGCGGAUUGCUAAGUACCUUGUGAAAUCCCACGGCUUAACCGUGGAACUGCUUGGUAUACUGGCUGUCUUGAGCCACUUAGGGGCGACCGGAACAAACGGUGGAGCGGUGAAAUGCGUAGAUAUCAGUAGGAACACCAAUGGCGAAGGCAGCUUGCUGGCAUGUAUCUGACGCUAAGGCACGAAAAGCGUGGGGAGCGAAACAGGG
rnacentral:rRNA from 1 species